CAUUUCCUUGGCUGCAUUUCAGGAACGUGUGGCUACUGCCUGGUACACAGCAGGGGCAGAUGUGCCCUGCAGGCCUGGGUAGAAACACCCCAUCCCCAGAGGGCAGCAGGCCAAGUCACCCAGGUGAUGGAGCCAAGGACUAGGCCUGUGCUAACAUCCCCUGCAGGGCCUGCGGGGGACACAGCACCUCUCCAGGGCUCAGCUGCCCCUCACAGUGACUCGCAGUUAUCGUUGGGUUUGUCAGUCUCACAUCUGCUCAGCAAGGCUCUCACUGACACAGCUGGAGCCCACCCCAGCCAGGUAGAAGAGCAGCAGCUCCCUGCUGCUAGUUUCCAGGAAAACGCCUCAUGACGUUUCUGCUGCUGGGGGGAGCAGGCAGGUGAACGUGGCAGGCAGCACACUCCUGUGGGCCUUCCAGGAAUACCAAGCAUCUUCCUGGAGCUGGGGCACGCAGCCCUGUUUUCGUAGGCUUACCUGCAGCUAGAGCUUCUGCUGUCUUUCACUUAGCUCUUCAAUUUGUCCUUUAGGGAAUUAAUUUAAAAAAAAAAAAAAAAGGGAUUAAAAAUGUGACAUGCUCCAUCUAGUGUCUUACCUGAGCCAUGAGCCUCAAUUGCCAUGGAUUGGGCCAUGUUAGUGCAGUGGGGACAUCACCCCCCAGCCCCUUGAGGAUGGCGCUGGGGCACUGGCACUGUCACAGCCUCUCCUGCUGCUGUGCUAGAGGCAUGUUAUAAACUUGUGCUGUAAUGCAGGAGCAGCACCAGGGCGAGAAUGCACUUGAAGGACCUGGGAGGGUGUUCCUCAGUGCAUACAGAAAAAAUUUUUAAAGUUUCCUUUGAGAGUGGAUCACUGAAAAAAAAAAACUUUCCCCUCCUCCUGGGGAGACAGAGCAGCUCCACAGCUGCAUUACUGCCAGUAGCAAGCACCACAGCAUUUAGCAGCUGCAGGUGAGCCACUGCCCCACACAGCUGCAGGCCGGCACCUCAUCUCACAGCAUGGCCAUGGGCUGAGAUGCACUGUGCAUGGAGCUGUCCUUAAGGGAGGAAAAAGGAAAACAUGAAUCUGCAGCAGUUUGAGCCCAGUGGCCAGCCAGUGCCCCAUUGGGUCUGCCUCCGUCCCCAUCCUCCCCGGAAAUGUCAGCGAGUGAGAGCAGAGGAUGGCUUUCUGCUGGGACUGCAAAGUGCCACUCUGUCUGGGAAACUCCUUUGAAGAACAUAAAGUGGAUGUUUUUCUCAGUGGUCACCUGGAACGGUGAGAUGGAAGCCAGCCCACUUGUGCUGUCCUAGCCAGCCAAGCAGCCUCUGAGAGUGCCACUGGCAGCACCUGGAUAGAUGGACAUCAGAACUGGCCUGUUUGCAAGAGGUAAGGCAUUUCUGUGCUCAGGUAUUGGAUCUGCCCAUCUCUACCUGCUACAACCAAUUCUUCUAACAGUUACCCUGCAGCACACCCUGUGGGAGAGCCUGUGAUCCACCCUGCCCAAAGAGAGCUUGUGCUGUGUAUAGAGAUAAUCAUGUCACAGCUGUGCAUAGAGCAUCAUGCCUUCUCUCAGCUCACACUACCCAUGUUAACCAAUUGUUAACGCCCACACCCAUCUAAAGAGUAUUCCACAGCAGGCAACAUGGUGCUAAAGCUACGUGCUCCAACAAGCCUUAAUUUCAAGCAGACGAGGGGCUCCCUCAAUGCAUCUUAAGAGACCGGUGAAGCUUUGAGGCUGCAGUGAGUGCUGCUGAAUGCGAUCUGUUUGACUUUUCUGAUGAAACUUUGAUUUAUCCAAAUACCAGCUUGAGUGUGGUGAGGAAAGAGAAUUUUUACCUAGACGUGGCUUUGGUUGUACCUUUGUUUCACUCUCUAUUUAUCUAGUUCACAGUACCUAGAAAUAAGUAUCAAGUCUGACCAGAGAAGGCUUUGCUGAUUUGGCUGUUCAACAACCUGCUGAGCUGCAGCUGUGUGUGUGGAGGGGCGCACCCCUCUAGCACACAUCUCCAUGGCUCGCUCGUUAUGCAGAUAGAAAGCCCCAGCUAACUCACCUGCCUGCCACACGUCCUUCCUGCAGCAGUCUUGGGGAGCUGCUCCACGGGGAAGCUGCUGGGCCUGGGGUCUGCUCGUCCUGGCGAACCGGCCUCCAGCACGCAGGUAGCAUCAGCAAAAGCUCAACCAUGGCAGUGUUCAUGAAUGGACAGGCAGCGGGCUGCAGCUUCUGUCAUCCUCGGCUGAGUGAAUGUGAGGAAUUCAUCAAUACUCUCAUAAAUUGCCGUUGUUUCACUUUCAUUGAGGUCCAUUAACUAAUCACAUUUGACAAGUUGUUUAUUGAGGAGAGCAACUAUUUUACAUCUCUUGCCUGGGAAAGAAAAUACUCUAACAAACAAUUAUUCAGCAGCUGCAAUCAUGGAACACUGAAUUAAUUGCUUUGAAGAUCACAGUCAAGAAGAUCUUGAUGAAAUCAAAGAAAAUGUGGUUUGACAGAAUGCGUGAAUGGGAAUGCUGGAAGGGAAGCCGGCUUUGUCAGCUGCAGUCGUGUUCCGGGGGAGCACGAAAUGAGCAUCACACCUUGAGACACGGGGCUGGGCAGAGAAGGAAGCCAUGGAAAAGCUUGUUUGCUUUAUCAAAACCAGAAUUUAUAUCUGAUUUGAUGAUAGGAUCUGAAUGCUGUUCAAAGGGCAAGCAAACGAGCACAAUCAGGCCUUAAUAUCACUAUGAAGGCUGAUGCAAGGAUAAUUCACACAUGUAAACUUCUGUGGGCUACUUCUGCCGUGCAACAAAUGACGCAGGGGUAUUGUGAGGCUGGGUGUUCGCAGAGCACUGUUUCUGCUGGAGUGGGACACGGGGCAGAGCAAGUGGCGUGCCUGGGCUGGGCUAAUGUCUGGGUGCAUGGGGACGCUCUGGGUGGACAGGAGGGCACGCAGCUGGACAUGCUCCUAGGGCACUGCUUCCGGCUUGGGCUCUCGAGUGGUGCUUCUGUGGGAAUACAGCCAGAGAAAAUAAGGGGAUCGCUGCCCCAGUUUCACUUAGGUACUGGGAUCAGAAGCUCUGAUCUCUCUUCAGCUCCUGUGCCUGUGGGGUGUCACAGGAAAGGUCUUCACCCCUAUGAUUGCUGCUUUUACAGUGUCCCAGAAGAGGCAGGCCCAAACUGCUCCAUGGCUGAAAGGAGCCGCCCUUCAGCUGCCACAUCAUCACACACAUCACACGCUUCAGAAGCCAGCUGAGGUGCAGUAUGUUCCUGCCAGCAAGGAUUGACUCCUACAGGACACCGAAAGGGAAGGAGAGCUCAAAGGUUCAAAACUUUUGUUGUGAGGGCCUUCAAAACAGAAGUAUGAGGAUGAAACAGGAUUGUCUCUGAAUACGGUCACUACAGCCAGCUGGAAAAGUUGCCCACUUUCUUCCACCCCUGGAUCCCUUUUGGAGUCUGAGGAGGGGCAGGGAAGAAAGUCAGAGGACGCUUGAGAUGCAAGUGGAGCCUAGAGCUGCAGAGCAAGGCAGCAGCCCCAACUUAGAAGCAGCAACUGGAGGAGGAUCUGAGGAGCUGUGACCUUGCAUUGCUCUUGUUCCAUACGGCCAACUGCCUGAACUGAAUGCAUACCCUUGGAACUCUGUACUCUGAUUCAAGUAUAGGCGACAGAAUUUGCCCUGCUUAAGGAAUGAUGUAGAAAAAGGCAAGU